rnacentral:rRNA from 1 species
GUCAAGUAAGAAUACCCGCUGAACUUAAGCAUAUCAAUAAGCGGAGGAAAAGAAACUAACUAGGAUUCCCUUAGUAACGGCGAGUGAACUGGGAAGAGCUCAAAUUUUAAAUCACCUUUUGGUGAAUUGUAAUUUGAAGAAAGUGUUUUGACUUUUCAGUUUAAUCUAAAUCCUUUGGGAUGAGGUAUCAUAGAGGGUGAGAAUCCCGUUCCUGAUUAGACCUCGAAUUGCAUUAAUUCACUUUCCAAGAGUCGAGUUGUUUGGGAUUGCAGCUCAAAAUGGGUGGUAAAUUUCACCUAAGGCUAAAUAUAUGCAAGAGACCGAUAGCGAACAAGUACCGUGAGGGAAGGAUGAAAAGAACUUUGAAAAGAGAGUUAAACAGUACGUGAAAUUGUUGAAAGGGAAACGAUUGAAGUCAGUCAUGCUAGUGAGAAAUCAGCAAGGUGGUUUACUUCCUUGUGUACUUUCUUUCAGCAGGUUAGCAUCAAUUUUGGUUGUCAUCAAAUAAUUGGGGGAAUGUGGCUUCUCUUCGGUAAAGUGUUUAUAGACCCUGGUAGAUGUGGCGACUGGGAUUGAGGAUUGCAGCGGAUGCCUUUGGCUAGUCACCUAUCUUCUGACUGUUACCUCGCUUUUGACAGCUUGCUGAUGAUCGUGGGAUUUGAUGGUUUAGAAGGUUAGAGUGUAUAUAAAUUCGCUAAGGAUGCUGACGUAAUGGCUUUAAACGACCCGUCUUGAAACACGGACCAAGGAGUCUAACAUAUGUGCGAGUGUU